rnacentral:tRNA from 1 species
GGGGAUUUAGCUCAGUGGCAUAAGCACCUGCCUUGCAAACAGGCGGUCAUGAGUUCAAUCCCUG